rnacentral:rRNA from 1 species
UCGCCGCCCGUGAUCGGCGAGAAGUCCAUUGAACCUUAUCAUUUAGAGGAAGGAGAAGUCGUAACAAGGUUUCCGUAGGUGAACCUGCGGAAGGAUCAUUG